rnacentral:rRNA from 1 species
UGGCUUAGAAGCAGCUAUUCAUUCAAAGAGUGCGUAAUAGCUCACUAGUCGAGUACCCUGCGCCGAAAAUUACCGGGGCUAAAACAAUUUACCGAAGCUGUGGAUACCUUUAUAGGUAUGGUAGGAGAGCGUUCUAUGUGUGGAGAAGGUGUACCGUGAGGAGCGCUGGAACGCAUAGAAGUGAGAAUGCCGGUAUGAGUAGCGAAAGACAGGUGAGAAUCCUGUCCACCGUAAGACUAAGGUUUCCCAGGGGAAGGCUCGUCCGCCCUGGGUUAGUCGGGACCUAAGGAGAGACCCGAAAGGUGUAUCCGAUGGACAACCAGGUUGAUAUUCCUGUACUAGAGUAUGUAGUGAAGGAGGGACGCAGUAGGCUAACUAAAGCGUGCGACUGCAAGUGCACGUCUAAGCAGUGAGGUGUGAAUUGAGUUAAAUGCUUAAUUCUGUAACAUUGAGCUGUGAUGGGGAGCGAAGAUAGUAGCGAAGUUAGUACGUCACACUGCCAAAAAAGCUUCUAGCGUUAAUCAUACUCUACCCGUACCGCAAACCGAACAGGUAGUCGAGGCGAGUAGCCUCAGGUGAGCGAGAGACUCUCGUUAAGGAACUCGGAAAAUG